UGGCUCAGAACGAACGCUGGCGGCAGGCGUAACACAUGCAAGUCGAGCGCACCUUCGGGUGAGCGGCGGACGGGUUAGUAACGCGUGGGAAUAUACCCAGAUCUACGGAAUAGCCUCGGGAAACUGAGAGUAAUACCGUAUACGCCCUUCGGGGGAAAGAUUUAUCGGAUUUGGAUUAGCCCGCGUUGGAUUAGGUAGUUGGUGGGGUAAUGGCCUACCAAGCCUACGAUCCAUAGCUGGUUUGAGAGGAUGAUCAGCAACACUGGGACUGAGACACGGCCCAGACUCCUACGGGAGGCAGCAGUGGGGAAUCUUAGACAAUGGGGGAAACCCUGAUCUAGCCAUGCCGCGUGAGUGACGAAGGCCCUAGGGUCGUAAAGCUCUUUCAACUGUGAAGAUAAUGACGGUAGCAGUAGAAGAAACCCCGGCUAACUCCGUGCCAGCAGCCGCGGUAAUACGGAGGGGGUUAGCGUUGUUCGGAAUUACUGGGCGUAAAGCGCACGUAGGCGGACUAUUAAGUCAGGGGUGAAAUCCCGGGGCUCAACCCCGGAACUGCCUCUGAUACUGGUAGUCUUGAGUUCGAGAGAGGUGAGUGGAAUUCCGAGUGUAGAGGUGAAAUUCGUAGAUAUUCGGAGGAACACCAGUGGCGAAGGCGGCUCACUGGCUCGAUACUGACGCUGAGGUGCGAAAGUGUGGGGAGCAAACAGGAUUAGAUACCCUGGUAGUCCACACCGUAAACGAUGAAUGCCAGACGUCGGGCAGUAUACUGUUCGGUGUCACACCUAACGCAUUAAGCUUCCCGCCUGGGGAGUACGGUCGCAAGAUUAAAACUCAAA
rnacentral:rRNA from 1 species